CUUGGUAAUAAAUUGCCAGUUAAGAACCUAAUACAUAUGUACCUGAAAUUAGAUGUGGAAAUCUGUAGGUAUCCCGACUUACGUUAUGCUUCCCGUUCCCACCUAUUACGUAACCCCGGGGUAUUACUAUAUUACAAGUAUUAUUUUGGAGUUAUUAUAUUCAUGCCAAACAUGCCUAAGAUUUCAUAUAUCCAUAUAUUGCCUAUAUAGAUGGUUAAGAAAUUGUUCGUGCAACCUGAUAAAAAUUUUACACAGUUCAUCCUCUUUAUACAUUAUUAUUUAUAAAUCUUGAAUCAAAAAUAUACAAAAAAUAAUAAUUUAUUUGUCAAUAAAUUCUUGUUUGAAUUGGUUGCGUAAUCACCGAAAUAUUUUUAAAACGUUUGUUUUUUAAUAAUUGUUUGAUUAUAAAUAUCAGUUUUCAUAGCUUUAAUUUGACCAAUAAU
rnacentral:lncRNA from 1 species